rnacentral:miRNA from 30 species
AGAUCAGAAGGUGAUUGUGGCU